rnacentral:siRNA from 1 species
UGGCCGUAGAAAUUGCCACGAC